ACGGACUUAUCUAGAGGAGCUUCCUGUGAACCAUUGCAGCUGAGUAAAGAACUAAAGAAACUCUGUCAGCCAGGCAUUGGGGAAUAGUGAUUAGGAUUUAUUUUUGCUAAGAAACAGUGGCCAGUGGCUUGGGGUAGCUCCCAAGAAAUCACACUGCAGUCAGAAAGAGGAAGACCUGGUUAUCUUAGAUUUAUCAGUAGUCCAGACUCCAUUCCUAUAUAACUCAGAAGACUUUUGGGAACAAUAUCGUCCUUGCGGGCAGAGUUGGGGUGUUUGCUCCUAAGAUACUGUGCCUCUUCUAAAUCUGAAGGCCAGCAUCAACCAGUGAAGUGGAUUCACUUGGUGACAAGACACCUGCCACCCCUGCAGAAUAAAGCCGGUCCACAGCUGGCUAAUUCCAAAACUUCGGAGGAGUUGAACCCACCUUAUUCAGAAUGAGAGCAGCAGAAGAGUUAAGAGAUAAAGGGUGCUGACAAGACGUGAGCAAAGAUUUCUGGGGAAGAAAAUGGAUUGGAAAAUGGAAAAUGCAAGUUCCUUACCCAAGCGGCAUUAACUACCAGCUCCAUAUGACAAACAGCCUAUCAUUUUGAUUACUAUUUAAGGAACAUAGCUUCACAGUUGGUAGUGUUUUGCUCACGUCGGCUGUAAUGUUAAACCCCACUCUCUCUUUUUCACCCACUGAACAGGCUAAAAUUGAAGCCUUGUAAUUUGUAUUCUGGCUAAAGUAAAUGUAAAUCCUGA